rnacentral:rRNA from 1 species
GACGGGUGAGUAACACGUGGGUAACCUGCCUGUAAGACUGGGAUAACUCCGGGAAACCGGAGCUAAUACCGGAUAGUUCCUUGAACCGCAUGGUUCAAGGAUGAAAGACGGUUUCGGCUGUCACUUACAGAUGGACCCGCGGCGCAUUAGCUAGUUGGUGGGGUAAUGGCUCACCAAGGCGACGAUGCGUAGCCGACCUGAGAGGGUGAUCGGCCACACUGGGACUGAGACACGGCCCAGACUCCUACGGGAGGCAGCAGUAGGGAAUCUUCCGCAAUGGACGAAAGUCUGACGGAGCAACGCCGCGUGAGUGAUGAAGGUUUUCGGAUCGUAAAGCUCUGUUGUUAGGGAAGAACAAGUGCGAGAGUAACUGCUCGCACCUUGACGGUACCUAACCAGAAAGCCACGGCUAACUACGUGCCAGCAGCCGCGGUAAUACGUAGGUGGCAAGCGUUGUCCGGAAUUAUUGGGCGUAAAGGGCUCGCAGGCGGUUUCUUAAGUCUGAUGUGAAAGCCCCCGGCUCAACCGGGGAGGGUCAUUGGAAACUGGGAAACUUGAGUGCAGAAGAGGAGAGUGGAAUUCCACGUGUAGCGGUGAAAUGCGUAGAGAUGUGGAGGAACACCAGUGGCGAAGGCGACUCUCUGGUCUGUAACUGACGCUGAGGAGCGAAAGCGUGGGGAGCGAACAGGAUUAGAUACCCUGGUAGUCCACGCCGUAAACGAUGAGUGCUAAGUGUUA